rnacentral:rRNA from 1 species
CCUACGGGGGGCAGCAGUGAGGAAUAUUGGUCAAUGGGCGAGAGCCUGAACCAGCCAAGUCGCGUGAAGGAUGAAGGAUCUAUGGUUUGUAAACUUCUUUUAUAUGGGAAUAAAGUGAGGAACGUGUUCCUUUUUGUAUGUACCAUAUGAAUAAGCAUCGGCUAACUCCGUGCCGGCAGCCGCGGUAAUACGGAGGAUGCGAGCGUUAUCCGGAUUUAUUGGGUUUAAAGGGUGCGUAGGUGGUUAAUUAAGUCAGCGGUGAAAGUUUGUGGCUCAACCAUAAAAUUGCCGUUGAAACUGGUUGACUUGAGUAUAUUUGAGGUAGGCGGAAUGCGUGGUGUAGCGGUGAAAUGCAUAGAUAUCACGCAGAACUCCGAUUGCGAAGGCAGCUUACUAAACUAUAACUGACGCUGAGGCACGAAAGCGUGGGGAUCGAACAGGAUUAGAUACCCUUGUAGUC